rnacentral:pre_miRNA from 1 species
AGAGGUUAUCCGUGUUCUGUUCGCUUCAUUCGCCAUGAAUAAUACAUGGUUAACCUCUUU